CGAUCGCACCACCUCCGCGUAGAGGCGGC
rnacentral:sRNA from 1 species